AGAUCAAAACUUAAUCGAUUAAUCACUAGCAGAUUCGUGCUCUUGAACAGUUUGGCUUCGUUUCAUCUUCACCUUAAAGGAAAUUGGUGGAUGAAAAGAACUUAAAAUAUAAGUUUGACUUUGACUAAGGGGCGCUCAAAUGAGGGUUUGCCAAGGGCGCCAUGAGGCAACGCUACGGCUCUGCCAACAUCUAGUAUGCCUAUUUCAGAAGUGGUACUCAAAGUGUCAAAUUUUCUUCAUUUCAAUCAUAGUAACUUUGUUUUCAAAACCAAAAUAUCAUUCUGUCACAGUUGUUGUUAUCGCAAAUGAAAUUCUCUGUUCUUCUGAAACACAAAAUCGGUGUUGCCAAACAGGUUCACAUAGAUUGAGUGGGUCAUCUAUGGCGAUAAGCUGUUUGCUGCCCGCUCUUUGCAUCUGCUGCUAGAAAAAAGAUUCUUACUGUCACUAUUUGACCGCUUGUGAAGAACUAAUGCGUGUACCAAAAGAAAUGGAUUAAAGUUAUUAUUUUUUGAUUGGCUUCCGAAUGUUUAAGCAGUUAUCUUAAUAUUUUUCCUAAUAUUUGUAUGCGGUUGGAAAGAAAAAAAUAACUGUGCGGCAAAUAAACGUUGUUUUAUCAAGAUGAAAAAUCGAA